rnacentral:rRNA from 1 species
UACGAAGGGGGCUAGCGUUGUUCGGAAUUACUGGGCGUAAAGGGCGCGUAGGCGGCCUUGUUAGUCGAGUGUGAAAGCCCUGGGCUUAACCCGGGAAGCGCGCUUGAUACUGCGAGGCUUGAGUGUGGGAGAGGUUGGUGGAAUUCCCAGUGUAGAGGUGAAAUUCGUAGAUAUUGGGAAGAACACCGGUGGCGAAGGCGACCAACUGGACCACAACUGACGCUGAGGCGCGAAAGCGUGGGGAGCAAACAGG